rnacentral:rRNA from 1 species
UGGGGAAUAUUGCGCAAUGGCCGAAAGGCUGACGCAGCGACGCCGCGUGGGGGAUGAAGCAUUUCGGUGUGUAAACCCCUGUUGCCCGGGACGAGCAAGCAGAUUUUUCUGCUCUGACGGUACCGGGUGAGGAAGCACCGGCUAACUCCGUGCCAGCAGCCGCGGUAAUACGGAGGGUGCGAGCGUUGUCCGGAAUCACUGGGCGUAAAGGGCGCGUAGGCGGUCUGCUAAGCGUGCGGUGAAAGCCCGGGGCUCAACCCCGGGUCUGCCGUGCGAACUGGUGGACUAGAGCACUGUAGAGGCAGGUGGAAUUCCGGGUGUAGCGGUGGAAUGCGUAGAGAUCCGGAAGAACACCGGUGGCGAAGGCGGCCUGCUGGGCAGUAGCUGACGCUGAGGCGCGAAAGCGUGGGGAGCAAACA